CAUUUUAAAAUGAUGAGGCCCAACUCCAUUAAAAGAAAAGAGAGCCCAACAAUUAUACUCCAUCCUCUACAAUCGGUCAACUCCUCUCCUUCCACCUCAAAACAUCCGCCACCCCCAAAUCUCAACACAAACCCCAAUUCACCGUCGCCUUCUCUGAAUUCGUCGGGAAUGGCUACUGCUUCCACCACCGUCGAUUUCCGAUUCAAACCGCAGUUCUCCUCCUUCCGGGAUACAUCCGCCGUCGUCUACACACCGUCACCACUUCACCAAUCGCAGCCUCUGCAGCGAGAGGAAAGGGCGGUAGCCGUCCCUCCGUCGCUGCCACUGUCCAGCCGAGCCGCCUUCGCCGUCAGACGCCGCUGCUCCGUCGGCGGUCGUGCACCUCGCCGUUCUCCAAUUCACCGCUGCCGGUGUCUGCUCGCUGUUCGGCAGCCCCCAAAACAAGACCGAACAGCCCCGAAACAACUCCGAACAGCCCCGAAACGAACCCGAACUACCCCGAUUCAACCCGCAAGAUAAGUUCUCUCUACCAAGAUAUGUUCUUUCGUAUUUUCCGAUUAAUCACAGCGGGUUCAAUUCGUGAAAGUUCGAUUGGUUGUGUUCGAUUUAUGUUAUUGAUAGAAUUACUUGUGGGGAGAUUGGUGUAUGAUGCUAAUAUGCUAAAUGUUCAUGCUUUGGAUUUGGGUAGAAAUUAUACCUCAGUGAAUAGAACUCGGUUGUGGAGUUUGUAAGGCCAAAAAGAUGAGUUCCUUGACAGAUACUGAAUGUUAAAUGUUCAUGCUUUGGAUUUGGGUAGAAAUUUUACAUUUGUUUGAUUUCAAUACAAGUGGUGAGAGUUUGAUAUACUGAAGUGACCUGAGAAGAGAGAUAAUGUGAUGUAUGCGUGAUGUGUGUGUGCAGGUGCAGAUUAAACAGCUACAGAGGAUUUACUCAACCGCUACGCCCAGUAAAUCUCAGUCUAGCUGAAUAUGUCGUUGGGACACUCUCAAUCGCUUCAAAACCUUAACCCAUUUACUAUUGGCUAGUAUAGGGUAGUAAGGAUUGAUCUCAAAGAGACGGAAGGGGUUAGCAAAUGUUCAGAGAAUUUGAAAGGGGUUGGCUGUUGCCACGCAACUCAUGUGUUAAGACUUGUUUAACUACUAGACUCCGAGAAAUUUAAAGGUAACUAAUCUACCUACUAGACCUAGGAAACAGGAAAAGGGACAUACGCAUGGAAACAGGAAAAGGGACAUACGCAUGCAUGGCUAACGGCAAUGAAAUUUAACUACAUAAUUCAGAUAACUAAACUACUGGGUCAAGCAAACGGAUUUCUGAAAACAGCUGAACAAUGCGUAAACAUGCCGUGGGGACCAUUUUCUGAAAAACUGCAGAAAGUAAACAACGGCCAGCGGCAGAUCAGACUUCUAACUAACUUCUAACUUCAUCUUCAUCUUCAUCUUCAUCUUCAUCUUCUUCAACGAUACACACAAACACAAACGAAAACAGAGCAUCAAACAUGUGAAAACAGAGCAAUCUCAGAUCUGACCUCAAACAUUACGAUUAAGCAUAAAAACUACUAGAUCUAAACUACUAGGCCGGGCAAAAUAAGUAAAAAACAGUAAAUAUCCAUAAUCAUGCAAAUCAGAACUUCACGUCUCAGAUCCACAACUCUGAUCAACAAUUCAACUCAAAUCAACAAAAACCAACUCCGAUUACAUUCAGAUCCAUACUCCUCAAUUCAGAUUCAGCCGAGUCAACAAUAAAUCAACUCCUAUCUCGACUCCAAAUCAAACACCAAUUGCAAAAAACAUCCAAAUCAGUAAAAACCAACAAUCAAACAUCAAGCAACUGAAUAGUACACAGAAACUUCCAUAGCCACGAAAUUAAGGUUCAACACAGAAAUAUUAAACGCCGAACUUCCAAUAGAAGAAGUUCACGACGAGCAAAAAUAAAGAAAUUGUAUCUUCGCCCUUCGUAAGGACGGUGUUACACCAUGGAAACUGAACUAGACCACCCUAAACUCCCAGAAUUACCCCAUUGAUGUUAAGUGCGCAGAGAAAUAUGUGUGUGAAGUGAAGAGGAACGAGCUAAGAGCGAAAAGUGAAUGUGUGAGAAUGAUGAUGACUCUCUUCAUGAUUGUAUCUCUAUUUAUAGUUGAGGCUCGGACUCCUAUGGUACUCUCCCUUUAUGAUUUGUCACUUUUGUCCUUACUAGAAGAUCCUUCAAAAGAUGCUUUUCCGCUCACAGCUGUUUCCGCCUUUGCUCCUGUAAUCCUCUGGGUCAGGUUGCAAGUUGGCUUCUUCACUCCAUUUUCCUUCGAUUUCCUCUGCCUGGUAAAUUUUCCAUCCGCUCCCUGGGUCUGGCAGAUUCUCUACGCACCUAAACUUAUAAAUGUAUGUUAGUUCAUGAAUAUCACAGAAUUUAACCCCAUAACCGAUGCAUGAAAUGAGCCUUAUCAUAUACGAAUUGAUGAAAUGGAUUACCUAGUUUGGAACUGAAUUGAGAAUUCAGCAGCUCUUCGAAUUCUCGGUUUCCGUCGUGAAUCUUUUGAGAAUACUUCCAUGAGUUCUCGGUUGUCAAAGAAUUGGAAAACGAAAGCAAAAUGGAACGGAUAUUACCGUGACUUGGAAUGGCAGAAACUUGGAAAUCAAAAGCUCUUCUACUUGAAGAGGUCACCUUAAAGUAGACGACGCCCACAACCGGUCUACUAAAACAAAGACUUAGACUUUGUUAAGUUACUUAUGUAUUUAAACAUGCAAUAAACAUCCAUUAAAUGUAAAAACUUAACAACAUUAUGACAAAAAUAAUCUGUUUUAUUUCUUGGAAAAUAAAAUAAGAGUUUUUACCGUAUUCAAUCAUUCGAAAGUUGAUUUCUAAUAUAUAAACUCUAACACUACUCUCCUUCUCUCUCGGCUCUCUCUCACUUUGUUUUGCUUGGAAAUGUAGAUUGUGAAAAGUGGGGAUGGAGAGUGAGACUGCCGUGAAUUAUGAGGGAGUAGAAUAUGGGAAUUCAAUUACCACUUAAUUGGGUGAUUAAUGGGUAAAUAGUGGCUGCAUUCAACCGUGAUAAACCCUCAUGAUUAUGAUUAAAUUUGGGUGUUUUAAUUUGCAGGUAACGGCUGGGAGAGUGGGAUGGAGAGUGAGACUGCCGUGAAUUAUGAGGGAGUAGAAUAUGGGAAUUCAAUUACCACUUAAUUGGGUGAUUAAUGGGUAACGGCUGGGAGAGUGGGAUGGAAGCUGGAGCAGAUUUUGAAGAGUAGGAGUUUUUGCUAGGAACGACAAUACCGUGAAGAAGAAAAGGAAAAGAAUUGGGUUCAAAAGAUCUCCCACAAUUUUAUUUGAUUUGAUCGAACUCAUUUAGUUGGAAAUGAGAGCCCAACUUGUAAUUAUUUAUUUGAUUUGGACUUCCAUUAUUUUCCAUGGCCCAAAGCCUUUUUGUAAAAUAAACAUUGGACUCUAUUUAAUUGCGAAGCCCAACCAUUUACUUUA